ensembl:lncRNA
ACCAACAGACCAGACAGGAACCAGAAAUGAAGUAACAAAUUAUUUAAUUGGGAUAAGGCAGGAACGGAACAAAUGUAAAAUUAAGCAGCUGAAUCAUUUGGAGACCCGUCCUCCCUCCCUCUCUCCAUAAAGGGUUGCCAUCUCCAUUGGACUCUAGAAUUGGUUUGGAAAAUGGGAACUCCAAAGGGAGAAGAGUUUUGUCUUUAGUGCUGCCCAUUUUACAUUGCAGUUUGAAAACCUCUUCACAGCCUUAUCCUUGGUUGCAACCCCAGCAUUUUGCUGAGUCUUGGCUUUGCCCUGCAUUUGCUCUUGCCAAGACUGAGAAGGUCUCCUUGUGACUACUCUGUGGCCACCACUCUCUUCUUCCUGCUGGGGAAGUGUGAUUGUUCUUUCAGCGUGAAACCACCACAGCCACAAGCUUUGCUCUAGUCAGCAUGUCUUCAGCUCUGUUGAUAAAUAGCAGUCCUAUCCAUAGUCUCUGACCAGCUGGCACCCGAAAGGGGCCACUUGGAGCAGCAAGGACUUACUUAUUCAUUAGUCCCGAGGAAGGUUUGCAGUCCUUAACUCCAGGAGACCUAGCGCGAAAGAACUCCCCGGAGCACUUCCCAGCCUUAAUUAAGGCUUAGGCAGUGGGGUGUCUUUCUGAGGGCGAGGAUAAACACUCACAGCUCUAGCUCGGUCCUCUUGUCCGUCCAGUUUCGAUCCUAUCCCCCGAUGUGAGUUCAAUGGACGGAUCAGUGCUCAGGUUGAAAUUACAAGGUGCUGGAAAUGACUACACGAGGGACACUUACACGGCUAGAGAGUUCUUUGAAGGCUACAUAGGAUCAGGUAGAAACCAGGAGCUGUGGGAUUUAUUUCCAGGAGUCUCGAUGGAGUGCAGUUCCUGUCCUUCGGCAUGCUCAGUCCCGAAUCUCAGCUUCCUGCACUCUGAGGUAAAGUUGAAAAAGAGGAAAAUGACAAAUGCUGGAAGAACUACAGGAAAACAGACACAUUAAUACACAAUUGAGGAACCCAUGAACUGGUCCUUUCCAGCUCUAGAUGUAUGAACUAUGAAGCAAGACUUAUGGAAUGAUUUACUCCUUCUUUGUUUCGCAGAUUGACAUAAAAUGUGAGUAUAAGUAUGUGGUACUUCCCCAGGAAGUCACUAGGAAUAACUAGAUAAUGAAU